rnacentral:rRNA from 1 species
UGCGCAGGCGGCUUACUAAGUCAGUGGUGAAAUCUUGCGGCUUAACCGUAAAAUUGCCAUUGAUACUGGUAAGCUUGAAUUCAGUUGAGGUUGGCGGAAUGUGUAAUGUAGCGGUGAAAUGCUUAGAUAUUACACAGAACACCGAUUGCGAAGGCAGCUAGCUAAACUGACAUUGACGCUGGGGCACGAAAGCGUGGGGAGCGAACAGGAUUAGAUACCCUGGUAGUCC